rnacentral:lncRNA from 1 species
GACUUUCAGGAGGUGUUCAACAAGGCCCGGGCCACUUCACUUCUGCCGCACCGACCAUAUGACUGCGGGAUUGACCUUUUCCCUAGCACCACUCCACCCCGGGGACAACUGUACUUUCUAUCGGGACCAGAGACCAAGGCUAUGGACACCUACAUUGGGGACUCCCUAGCUGCAGGAUUUAUACGUCCUUCAAUCUCUCCCGCCGGCGCAGGGUUCUUUGUGGAGAAGAAGGACAAGAGCCUAUGCCCGUGCAUCGACUACCGGGGACUCAAUGGCAUAACGAUGAAGAACCGCUACCCGCUACCACUCAUCUCCUCGGCCUUCGAGCCGCUCCAGCCACCGUGUUUUCCAAGCUGGAUCUACAGAACGCCUACCACCUGGUGCGGAUAUGGGAAGGGGAUGAGUGGAAGACCGCCUUCAACACGGCCAGAGGCCACUAAGUAUUUGGUCAUGCCAUUUGUCCUCACCAAUGCCCCUGCUGUGUUCCAGGCUCUGGUUCUUCAACGCCAGAGACAUCCUGGACCCAGGCCUCAUCGCGGAUUUCCAACGCCAACACCCCGGUCAACCAGGUAUGCGCCCAGGUCGUCUUGUUCAUCAAGUCAACCAGCGUUUUUUUUUCUCAGCUCCUGCUUUCCCCAGUCUCUCUUUUCCUUGCCCUCCUGGUUUUGACCCUUGCCUGUCCUGUUUCUGAGCCCGUCUGCCUGACCACUCUGCCUGCCCCUGAGCCUGCCUGCCAUCCUGUAACUUUGCCCCAUCUCUGGAUUACCUACUUCUGUCUGACCCUGAGCUGGUCUGCCAUCCUGUACCUUUGUACCUACCUUCAAACCUGAUACCAAGAGCAUUGAGCAUGACU